GGGGCCUCACGAUGCUCAGGGAACACCAAUGCCAGCGUGGGCCUCACGAUGCUCAGGGAACACCAAUGCCAGCGUGGGCCUCACAAUGCUCAGGGAACACCAAUGCCAGCAUGGGCUACACGAUGCUCAGGGAACACCAAUGCCAGAAUGAUCUCAUGCUGUGGUUUGUCACUACAGCAAACAAGAACUCAUUAAUAAAUACAAGGAAGAAAAUGUCUGUCUUCUUCGAGACUGAUCAACAAUUAGUUAAUGCAAACUCUGUUUGUUCAGGGCUCUGGCUGUUUUUGUUAGCCCUGGGACGAUUUGGUCUGUUUUUAGCUGUCAAGUAGCAGACAUCUGAUGAAUACAACCAGAGUUCAUUUGCUGUGGUAUCUGCAAGGAACGUGAAAAAUUACUGCUGAUCACUAAGCUCCCAAAUUGGGUCAUGAAGAGCAAAUCCCUCCAGGCCGAGAAGUGUCUCUACUAAGUUUAUAAAAGCAGAAAGAACUGGGAAAUUGAGUAAAAACAAUGCACUUGGCCUUCAAUCAAAGAAGACAGUGCCCUGGGAUGUCCUUCUAACCCUCAUCAUUGUGAUCACAUUUCAAGACCUCUCCAGAUGUCAACAGCCUGACUAAGAGUAUGAUAGCUAAUCCAGAAAGAGAACCAGGAGCUCUCCUUCUGCUCUAAGGAACAGGCCUUACCUGCCUGUAAUCAGCCCUGCAUCAAAGCUUUGAACAGUUUAACACCUGGCUCUUCAAGAACAUGAUGCUCCAAUGUCAGCCAAUUGCAGGUCUGUAUUAAGGUUUCCAAUGUUAAUGAACAGAAUCUGCAGUUAACGGCCAGUUAAAUGGUUUAGCAGGUAAAGCUGCUUUCUACCAAACCUGGCAACCUGAGCUCAAUUACCAAAGCUCACUUAGCAGAAGGAAAUAAUCAACUUCUACAAGUAGUCUUCCAACUCCACACACAUGUGCACACCACACACGGGCACACACACAUGUGCACACAAUUACAUGCACACAUGCACGCACACAAACACACACACACACACACACACACACCACACACCCCCCACACACCCCAAAUGUAAUUAAACAUUAAAGAAAGCCCUGCAGGUGAGGUCACAAAGAAAAAGAAGAAAACAGUACGGGUAAUGGCUCAUACACGGAUAAACCCAAUAAUAAUUUUAACAUUGGACUGUUUCACUUGAUGGGACAUUCUCUCAGAACCUCUAAGUUUCUUCUCAAAUUCAAGAUUUUAAUAGAGGUCAUUCUCUAUCAUUUCGAUGAUAGCAAUGAUCCUAAAAAAGAACAAUGUUGGAAGAAUGAGUGAAUCCUAAAAGUUGAGAGGUGAAAUUGAAUUAGGAUGAAUAAAAAAUAUCUUAAUGUCA